GCUAGAUGUGGUGGCACAUGCCUGUAGUCCCAGCUACUCAGGAGGCUGAGCAGGGAGGAUUGCUUGAGGCCAGGAAUUCUGGGCUACAGUGUGCUAUGCCAAUCAGGUAUCCGCACUAAGUUCAGCAUAAAUAUGGUAAUCUCCUGGGAGCAGGGGACCACCAGGUUGCCUAAGGAGGGGUGAAUCAGCCCAGGUCAGAAACAGAGCAUGUCAAAACUCCCAUGCUGAUCACUAGUGGGAUAGUGUCGGUGAAUAGCCAGUGCACUCCAGCCUGGGCAACAUAGCAAGACCCUGUCUCU
rnacentral:SRP_RNA from 1 species